UCCCAGCUGUAAACGAUGCAGGCUAGGUGUUGGCGCGGCUACGUGCCGCCCCAGUGCCGCAGGGAAGCCGUUAAGCCUGCCGCCUGGGAAGUACGGCCGCAAGGCUGAAACUUAAAGGAAUUGGCGGGGGAGCACCACAAGGGGUGAAGCUUGCGGUUUAAUUGGAGUCAACGCCGGAAAUCUCACCGGGGGCGACAGCAGAAUGAAGGUCAGAUUGAAGGUCUUACCAGACAAGCUGAGAGGAGGUGCAUGGCCGUCGCCAGUUCGUGCCGUGAGGUGUCCUGUUAAGUCAGGCAACGAUCGAGACCCGCGUCCCCUGUUGCUCGGCCUUCGGGCAUAGGACACUGGGGAGACUGCCGCCGAGAAGGCGGAGGAAGGAGCGGGCCACGGCAGGUCAGUAUGCCCCGAAUCCCCCGGGCCACACGCGAGCUGCAAUGGCAGGUACAGAGGGUACCAACCCCGAAAGGGGAAGGAAAUCCCG
rnacentral:rRNA from 1 species